GACGAACGCUGGCGGCGUGCUUAACACAUGCAAGUCGAACGGAAAGGCCCUGCUUUUGUGGGGUGCUCGAGUGGCGAACGGGUGAGUAACACGUGAGUAACCUGCCCUUGACUUUGGGAUAACUUCAGGAAACUGGGGCUAAUACCGGAUAGGAGCUCCUGCUGCAUGGUGGGGGUUGGAAAGUUUCGGCGGUUGGGGAUGGACUCGCGGCUUAUCAGCUUGUUGGUGGGGUAGUGGCUUACCAAGGCUUUGACGGGUAGCCGGCCUGAGAGGGUGACUGGCCCAAUGGGGACAGAGCUACGGCCGGGAGUAGUACGGGAGGUAGGAGAAGGGAAUAGUGCAUGAUGGGCGGAAGCAGCAUGCAGGAUGGCGGCGUGAGGGAUUAUGGCCUGCGUUUAGGAGGCCAUAUUGGCCGGGGAGGAAGCUUGAGUGAAGGUAAUGGAUAAAUAAGGACCGGCUAACUACGUG
rnacentral:rRNA from 1 species